GACGGAGGAUGCAAGCGUUAUCCGGAAUGAUUGGGCGUAAAGCGUCCGCAGGUGGCAGUUCAAGUCUGCUGUCAAAGACCGGGGCUUAACUUCGGAAAGGCAGUGGAAACUGAACAGCUAGAGUAUGGUAGGGGCAGAGGGAAUUCCUGGUGUAGCGGUGAAAUGCGUAGAUAUCAGGAGGAACACCUAUUGCGAAGGCAGCUCGCUGGGACGUAACUGACGCUGAGACGCGAAAGCGUGGGGAGCAAACAGG
rnacentral:rRNA from 1 species